rnacentral:rRNA from 1 species
UACGUAGGGUGCGAGCGUUAAUCGGAAUUACUGGGCGUAAAGCGUGCGCAGGCGGUUAUUUAAGUCAGGUGUGAAAGCCCUGGGCUUAACCUAGGAAUUGCGCUUGAGACUGGAUAGCUUGGAGUGCGGCAGAGGGAGGUGGAAUUCCACGUGUAGCAGUGAAAUGCGUAGAGAUGUGGAGGAACACCGAUGGCGAAGGCAGCCUCCUGGGCUGAGAUUGACGCUCAGGCACGAAAGCGUGGGGAGCAAACAGG